UGCUCCAACCCGGUGGAGCAUGUGGUUUAAUUCGACGAUACACGAAGAACCUUACCUGGACUUGACAUAGUAAGAACUUUCUAGAGAUAGAUUGGUGUCUGCUUGCAGAAACUUAUAUACAGGUGCUGCACGGCUGUCGUCAGCUCGUGUCGUGAGAUGUUGGGUUAAGUCCCGCAACGAGCGCAACCCUCGUCUUUAGUUGCUAACAGUUCGGCUGAGAACUUUAAGGAGACUGCCUACGCAAGUAGGAGGAAGGUGAGGACGACGUCAAGUCAUCAUGGCCCUUACGUCCAGGGCUACACACGUGCUACAAUGGGGUAUACAAAGAGCAGCAAUACGGUGACGUGGAGCAAAUCUCAAAAAUAUCUCCCAGUUCGGAUUGUAGUUUGCAACUCGACUACAUGAAGUCGAAUCGCUAGUAAUCGUACGUCAC
rnacentral:rRNA from 1 species